rnacentral:rRNA from 1 species
UACGUAGGGUGCGAGCGUUGUCCGGAAUUAUUGGGCGUAAAGGGCGCGUAGGCGGUGAAGUAAGUCUGGUGUGAAAUCUAGGAGCUUAACUCCUAAACUGCACUGGAUACUGUUUUGCUUGAGUACUGCAGGGGAGACUGGAAUUCCUGGUGUAGCGGUGGAAUGCGCAGAUAUCAGGAGGAACACCGGUGGCGAAGGCGGGUCUCUGGGCCGAAAUUGACGCUGAGGAGCGAAAGCGUGGGGAGCAAACAGG